ACGAACGCUGGCGGCGUGCUUAACACAUGCAAGUCGAACGGAAAGGCCCUGCUUUUGUGGGGUGCUCGAGUGGCGAACGGGGGAGUAACACGUGAGUAACCUGCCCUUGACUUUGGGAUAACUUCAGGAAACUGGGGCUAAUACCGGAUAGGAGCUCCUGCUGCAUGGUGGGGGUUGGAAAGUUUCGGCGGUUGGGGAUGGACUCGCGGCUUAUCAGCUUGUUGGUGGGGUAGUGGCUUACCAAGGCUUUGACGGGUAGCCGGCCUGAGAGGGUGACCGGCCACAUUAGGACUGAGGUAUGGCCCAGACUCCUACGGGAGGCAACGGUGGGGAGUAUUGCACAAUGGGCGGAAGCCUGUUGCAGCAACGCCGCGUGCGGGAUGACGUCCUUCGUGUUGUAAACCGCUUUCGCCGGUGACGAGGCGUGAGUGACGGUAAUGGGUAAAGAAGCACCGGCUAACUACGUG
rnacentral:rRNA from 1 species